GCGGGGGAACGAAGGAUGCGCAAGAACCAGGAAACGGGGCAGCCGGGCUUCCGGCGCACAGCAGUUUGAGACUACGGCGGCCGCGCAGCUCCGUCUAACUCCAGCCUUGCGCUCCGAGCUGCCGUCCACAGGCGCCCUCGCCCCGCCCAGCUUAGCUUCGAGCCAGCCGGCCAGGCCUGCGCAGUCGCGGCGGCCGGGGAAGAUGGUGGAGGACGGCGCGGAGGAGCUGGAGGACCUGGUGCACUUCUCCGUGUCCGAGUUGCCUAGUCGCGGCUACGGCGUCAUGGAGGAGAUCCGGCGGCAGGGCAAGCUGUGCGACGUGACGCUCAAGAUUGGGGACCACAAAUUCAGUGCUCACCGGAUCGUCUUAGCAGCCUCAAUCCCGUAUUUCCACGCUAUGUUUACAAAUGACAUGAUGGAGUGCAAGCAGGAUGAGAUUGUAAUGCAAGGAAUGGACCCAAGCGCCCUGGAAGCUCUGAUCAACUUUGCCUACAACGGUCACCUUGCCAUUGACCAGCAAAACGUCCAGUCGUUGCUGAUGGGGGCGAGUUUCCUGCAGUUGCAGAGCAUCAAAGACGCCUGCUGCACAUUCCUCCGAGAACGGCUUCACCCCAAAAACUGCCUGGGUGUACGCCAGUUUGCUGAGACCAUGAUGUGUGCCGUGCUAUACGACGCGGCCAACAGCUUCAUCCACCAGCACUUUGUGGAGGUGUCCAUGUCGGAAGAGUUCCUGGCCCUGCCCCUGGAAGACGUGCUUGAGCUGGUGUCUCGGGAUGAGCUGAACGUGAAAUCAGAGGAGCAGGUCUUUGAGGCCGUGUUGGCCUGGAUCAGAUACGACCGGGAGCAGAGGGGACCCUGCCUGCCUGAGCUGCUGUCCAAUAUCCGCCUGCCCCUCUGCCGGCCCCAGUUCCUGUCAGACCGAGUGCAGCAGGAUGACCUGGUGCGUUGCUGCCACAAAUGCAGGGACCUGGUGGAUGAAGCAAAGGACUAUCACCUCAUGCCAGAGCGCCGGCCCCACCUGCCAGCUUUCAGAACUCGGCCUCGCUGCUGCACAUCUAUCGCUGGGCUCAUCUAUGCCGUGGGGGGCCUCAACUCAGCAGCAAAUUUUUAUGCAGGUGAUUCCCUGAAUGUGGUGGAAGUGUUCGACCCCAUCGCCAAUCGCUGGGAGAAGUGCCAUCCCAUGACCACAGCCCGCAGCCGUGUCGGUGUGGCCGUGGUGAACGGACUCCUCUAUGCCAUCGGGGGGUAUGACGGCCAGCUGCGGCUGAGCACUGUGGAGGUCUACAACCCAGAGACGGACACGUGGACCCGAGUGGGGAGCAUGAAUAGCAAGAGAAGUGCCAUGGGGACGGUCGUGCUGGACGGGCAGAUCUACGUCUGUGGUGGCUAUGAUGGCAACUCUUCUCUCAACUCUGUGGAGACCUACUCACCUGAGACGGACAAGUGGACUGUGGUGACCCCGAUGAGCUCCAAUCGCAGUGCUGCAGGGGUUACAGUCUUUGAGGGCAGGAUAUACGUGUCGGGCGGCCAUGACGGUUUGCAGAUCUUCAAUAGUGUGGAGCACUACAACCACCACACAGCCACCUGGCACCCGGCGGCCGGCAUGCUCAACAAGCGCUGCCGGCACGGAGCUGCAUCCCUGGGAAGCAAGAUGUUUGUGUGCGGGGGCUACGACGGCUCGGGCUUCCUCAGCAGCGCCGAGGUGUACAGCUCUGUGGCGGACCAGUGGUGCCUGAUAGUCCCCAUGCACACACGCCGGAGCCGGGUCUCCCUGGUGGCCAGCUGUGGGCGGCUCUACGCCGUGGGGGGCUACGACGGACAGUCGAACCUGAGCUCGGUGGAGAUGUACGACCCAGACACGGACCGCUGGACGUUUAUGGCCCCCAUGGCAUGUCACGAGGGGGGGGUCGGUGUGGGCUGCAUCCCUCUCCUCACCAUCUAAGGCGAAGGGUGGGAUGUGGUGGAGUAGGGAUCUGGUACAAACACAGGCACUUCCUUCCAGGGUUAGUCCCCCUCGGAAGAGGUGGUGGACCAGAAGACAGGGUGAAAUGUGAGCUCGCCAGAGGUACAGUUUUCCAGGUGCUUAAGUCCUCCCUCCCUGUGCAGCCCUGUGACCUUCAGGCCUAGGUCAUCAAGAUGCACAGCGUGGGACAGAAGCCCCUCUGGGUCCCGCAGCUGGUGACACAGGACUGCUUUGCUGGUCCACAUGUCCACAGGCUCCAUCCAAGCCCAGCUCCCACCUGCCACAGCUCUGUGGGUCGCCCAUCUGCAGAGUGUCUUCCAUCUGACACUCCUUGCCUACUGCUUGCCAGGUGUGUUGUGGCCAGUUUGCGAUGGGGUGGCUUCAGUGGCCAAGCGUGUUGGAAACUGUGGGGUGUGGGUGGGAGAGGAGGGACACAGGCCGGGUUGUCCUCACUGCGAGGCUGCAGCCAUGGCAGUGCUGGUUGCACACACGCACCUCCUCCUUCCAUCCGAGCGCACCGAGAAUUUUGUCUGCAUUGCUGAGUAAGCACGAAGAACAGAAGCUUUUCCUGUGUCUAAUUUUGGGAUUUCAGCGAGGUCUUUUUCAUCUUGUUCAGGAGAAACAGAGGGAGAGGAUAAAAGAUACUUGAAAGAAACUGAAGGAAAGUUAAAGAAACACUUGAAAGAAACUGAAAAGAAAAAUAAUUUUUUAAAGUGAACAUUUUUUUGCAAGAAGAAAACAUAAAAGACACUAGAGGCAAAUAUGUGUUUAAAUGGAAAACCACCCAACGUGAAAAGGGUGGUAUCCGCUCCCACAUUCGGAUCCCAGGGUCCUAAGGCCUCGCAUGGCACUCGGGGUUCCCUCUGAGCCCCUGUGUGUCCAGAAUCAGUGCGCACUCGACCAGUCCUGUAGCAAGGUGCUCGUGGGGUUUGUCUUCACACCCACUAUCAGAGGACUUUUUUAAUCGUAGGCUUAGCGAGUUGGCUAAGUUAUUGCCACUCUUCUAGGUGGGAGCUCCUAGCUUGUCGCUGGAGGCUCCAGAUGCCCCUGUGGUUAUCUCCCACUGCCACCAUGGCACUCAUGCAGAUUCCCACCCCACUUUCAUUCCUUCCUUAUUUGACCAGCAGGAAACAGCACGUCUGGCCAGAUUCUCAUUUGCCCAUCUAUCAUUCUUGGAUAGUUUUCUUCAUCGUGAUGCUUCUGAGGUACAUUGACCAUUUGUACCUCUAGAACCUAACCAGAGACUUGGUCCUUCCACCAGCCACGGCUGGCUUGAUCCAGUAACCAUAUCUACCCUGCCAGUCCGCUGCUCCUCCAUCCACUCGCCAAUUCCAGGGGUCUGGUCUCCCCUCCAGCCCUUGGCAGACUGACCAGCAAGGUGGACCUUUAUAUUCUAGCAAAGCUGGCUUUAUGACGUAAAGAACUAAAAGCUGAAAGAAUCUCUUGCUGCUGCAAAGAACAGAUUUUAUAUUUCUUCCUAUGAUCUUAGCUAAUGACCUCUUGAAGAGACUCCAUGCUCCUCCUUCCUCCUCCCUGGAUGGGACCUUGAUGCUGCACAGUGGGACCCCAACAGGAGGACUCUUCUCUUACCAGUGCACUGGGCAGUGGAGCUGUCCUUCAACUGCUGCUGCCAAAAUUUGGUUUUCCAAAAUUCUUCCAGUAGAGACUAAAAGAGGAUACAUUUCCAAUGCAAGAUUGGGUCUCAGGGUCCCAAUCUCUACUUGGUUGGUCUGCCCAUCGCUGCCUGCCUGGGUGUCCUGGAAGCCUGUUCAGAAAGGCACCAUGUGACACCUGAGACGUCUCUUCUACCCUGGGACUGUGAGGUUUACCAGUGUGUGCAAUCGCCAUGUUUCCAGAGGGAAGUACCUUUGUUACCUGCCACUUAGGAGCUGGGCCUCUGCUAAAAGCACUUGAAAAUGAUGUUUUUAUUUUAAAAGACUUAACAAUCUAAUAUAGUUGAGCCUGGGCUUGUGGUAGAGCUCUGGCAUUUCUCGCUCCCUGUCGGUUUGCCUGUUAGAGGUAGACUUGGAAGGAGGGUGGGGUCUGUUAUUCCUGUUAGAGAGGAGUUAUCAGUGCUUGUCUUCUUAUUAUAAGCCCCUUUCUUUUGUGAAUUUGCAACAGCACUGACAAACCUGGGUUGUGAAUGUGUUAAGAAUCAACCAGUGGACCUCACCAGGUCCUUAGGAUGCUGACCCAGAUUUUGCCAUUGGGGUUGAGAGAUCAUUUUCCCAUGAUCUGCUGCUCUUGUGAUAGCCUUCCUACAUCUACUCCCACCUCCUGGUGUAGAAGUUACACUGCUUCACCUGGGGUCAGUGUUUCCAAGUAAGGUGAAGCCAGUGCCUUGAUCUGGGCUCUGAGCACAAGUGAGCAAACACUAACAUUUUCACACUCUCCACAGUUGGUUCCUCAGUCUGACGGUGAUGACUGUUUACAGGUGGCUGGUCUGACCCUUUGAUGUUGGAGCCUUUCCAGUAAAACCAUGAAAAGAAGAGAUGCCACCCAUAGGUAUUGUGAAAAGGGUAUAGGGCAGAUACCGUGGACAGUGAACCUUGGGGUCCAGCCCAGCUCUGAGCAGAGGACUGUGGCAUUCGCUGUCCUAGGGUAUUUCCCCUUAGAUAACACAAGGAACCUUCUCUUCUGGGUUUCAUCCGAGAGCAAAGCCAGGAUGGGAGCUGAAGUCCAGCCUUUUGACUUGGCCACAGAGAUGUGAGUAGUAUCGUCAAGAAUUGAGACCAGAUCUCCACAUUCACAGUCCAGUUCACCUGAGGAAAGCAGUGUCUUCGUCCUCUGGAGCAGCUGAUUCAUCCAGCCUCCAUGCCCCGAGUGUGGAGGUCUGCUGCCCAGUACUGUGAUGGCCUUCGAGAAGCAGACUGAGCAGCGAGAGAAAGAAGAACCCUGUUUGGAUUAUGGAAACAGACUCUCAAUUCUGUUUCAUCGAUCUCUAUGCCUGUCCAUGAGCCAAUACCACACUGAUUGUAUGCUACUGAGUUUUCCAGCUUUAAAGAACUUAUUUUCAUCUCAGCAUUGUUUACAGCAAUUUCAAAGCAAAACAAAAUGGAAACAACUUCGACAGCAGGAGUGACUUAAAUAAAUGGAGGUCUAACCACCCAAUGGAGAAUUACACAGAAAAAAACAUGGGGUGAGUCAAUAGUGACUGAAGUGUGUUAGCUGACAGGUUAAAUGAGAAUAAGCUGGUUGUAAAAUGGGCCGUAAAAUGACUGUGAAGUCAUUUUUUCUUUUAAAAAUAAAACUCACAUUGUACCUGUAUGUAUGAGGAAUGAAAUUUGAUUCCUGCAGCCAUUUAGAUGUUGUCCUAGAGGUCUGUUCACCCAUUGUGUUCCCACCCCCAACCCCCAGUGAAUUUUUCCUUCUGGUCUUGCUUCUGUGGGCCUGAAGACUUUCAGAAGCUGCCAAGGCCAAGAGCCUGAGCUGUAUUUGGAGCCUUGAUACCAUCUCAGGGCCUGAUAGUGUCUGGGCUAUGAGAAUACAGCAGAGUGGCUCCAGCAGAGCCUCGUGGCUGAUCCUACAGGCCUGCCCUCUUGCGGGGUACAGCAUGAUGGGCCUUGUGUAAUGUGGCAUUGACCACCAUAGAUGAGCCUUGAGCUUCCUGGGAGAAGUUGCUCAGCCCGUUAGUGUCCAGAACCCCCUAGAAGACCUGGAUGAGACCUGGAAGUACUCUUUCGGGGUGGGGGUCAGGCAAGGGAGUGAUAUGUGGUGGUGUGCCUGCGGUGCUGGUGCCUUCUGCUCUCUGCAGGAGCUAGAAGUGACCUUCUCCAGCUGAACAUCAUUGUCCCACCAUGGGGAGAGGGUCUGGGGUCUAGUUUAUCCUGCUCAGCCCAAACCUGCCCAUUUCCCACCCCAGGGUUGCUCCCUGCAGCAUCCCCCACCCCCUCUUGCCCACCAGUGGGGCUACCUGAGAUUUAGGUGGCAAGGGAGUUGGAGUGUGGACUAUGGGCAAGUUAACCAAUUUCCUUGAGGCUUAGUUUUCUCACUGAAAGUUGCAGGUGAUGCAUGCAGCUUGCAACGCAUUUCUGAGACCUGAGAAGUGUAUUCCCAUUCACUGUAUGGGAAGUGGCGUUCAUAAAUCGUGGCUAUUAUUAUUAAUGGAGAGGAGUCCUUGGCUUUCCUGGGAUAAUUACUAAAAAACCCAUUUCCCCAAGGGGCUCUACACCAUGGCCCCUCAAAUGAGAGUUUCCCACAGAUAUUUCUGUAGCAAAGACUUGAAAAAGGAGCCUACUAGUGAGAAGACAAGGGCAUUCAUCCAUUCAACAAGUAUUUACUGAGCAACUACAGUGUUCUCAGGGCUGGAUGUAUCAGGAACCAAGGCCAAGGUUUGCUGGUGGACCAGAUGUGGCUGUGAAAGACAGCAGAGAGCCAGAUGCUCAGGUCCCUGACUGCAUGUGGCAGUUGGGAGCUCUCAGUUCCUGGAGUGUCCACUCCAGGGGACCCAGCAGAACGCCUCACCCGGUGGACCUACAGAAGUGAUGCAGACGUGAUCACCCUCAUUGAUUGGCCCCCUUUCCUGUCCUGCCUGUGGCCCCUCUCUCCAGGUGGGGAUGAGUGUGAGGCACCGGCAGUGAUGUUGGUGAUGGGGCUGGAGGUGGUCCCCAGUGAGGCCCUUCCACUCGGAGCCCAGAGGGCCUGGGAAGGCCUGAACUCUGCCGCUCACUUCCUCUCUGGCUAUUCCACUCACUUGCUAGGAGGUUGCACCUCCGGCUUCAGUUUUUCCAAAUGUGGGAUGUGGAGGAGGGUUCCCAGAGCUCAGGGCCCAGAGCAGAGCCAGUGUCCUGCGAAGUCUGAGCUCCCUCUCACCCCCAGGAUGCCCCUUAGCCUCGGCCACCAGUCUCUCCUCCCCACCCCUCCUGCCAAACGACUAGCAGUCAUCAACGUCCAACCGCGCCUCACACUCCACAAGCCUUUCCCCUCCCGACGACUUGCGUUUAGAAGGGCUCGAUCGGCCCGGUUUCCAGAGGAGGAAACUGAGGCCCCAUGCGCCGAAGUCAGUGGCCCGGGUGAGGGCCCCUCGGUCAUCGGCGGUCACCGGGCAGAGCGCCGCCCGCGACGGAAACAGACUGGGGCCAGCGCGGGCGCAGGGGCUCAUCUCCGGCUUGAGCUCGCGCUCGUGGUCCGGGUCCCCAGGGCAGUUGAGGGACGGUUGAGGGACGGAAGGAUGUGCUGCAGCAUGAAGAAGAUGCCCGUGCAGUUCCGCUCUUCCUGUGGGUCAGUGAGCACAGGAGUACGGUGGCCGACGUUCUUGCCCAGGUACCCAGGCUCCCGAAGCCGGCGCCCUCCCUAAUCCUCCCCCCAGAGCCAGGCGGGAGCGGCGAACGCUGGGGGGACCCGGGCGGGCUCCGUGAACACCCAGUAAAAUUAAGGACUUUCAUGCAAGUUAUAUUAAAUGGGAAAAGGCCUCCAGAAUUAGCCUCAGAGGAAGCUAUAUUUGUUUAAAACACUCGUGUGUACAUAAAAAAGAUACAGAAGAUGAUUCACCAAUGGUUAAUGUUGUCUCCUCCUGGGUAGUGGGGUUGCAGGGGGUUUUUGUUUGUUUGUUUUUAGUUUGCUUCUCCACAUUUUGUUAAUUUGCUAUAAUAAAAUAUUAUUUUCCUAA